GACGAACGCUGGCGGCGUGCUUAACACAUGCAAGUCGAACGGAGUGGCGAACGGGUGAGUAACCCGUGGGUCACCUGCCCUGCCAUUCGGGAUACGCCUGGGCACCUGGUUCUAAUACCGGUUAUUGUGGGAUGGGCCCGCGGCCUAUCAGCUUGUUGGUGGGGUAAUGGCCUACCAAGGCGGCGACGGGUAGCCGGCCUGAGAGGGUGGACGGCAACAUGGGGACUGAGACACGUCCCAGACUCCUACGGGAGGCAGCAGUGGGGGAUAUUGUACAAUGGACGAAAGCCUGAUGCAGCUACGCCGCGUGGUGGAUGAAGGCUUUCGGGUUGUAAACCUCUUGCGCUAUCGAACGGGUAGGUGGAGAAGAAGUGACGGCUAAAUACGUGCCAGCAGCCGCGGUAAUAC
rnacentral:rRNA from 1 species